GAUGAAGAACGUAGCGAAAUGCGAUACUUGGUGUGAAUUGCAGAAUCCCGUGAACCAUCGAGUCUUUGAACGCAAGUUGCGCCCGAAGCCACUAGGCCGAGGGCACGCCUGCCUGGGCGUCACACGCCGUUGCCCCCCCAUCUACUCCUUCGGGAUUGCGGGGGGGCGGAUGAUGGCCUCCCGUGCGCCUAGCCGCGCGGUUGGCAUAAAUGCGAGUACUCGGCGACGAGCGCCGCGGCAAUCGGUGGUUGUCCAACCCUCGGUGCCAUGCUGCGCGCGCUAGCCGCUCACUGUUACUCGACGACCCCAAUGCGUCGUAGCCACGACGCUCACAACGCGACCCCAGGUCAGGCGGGGCUACCCGCUGAGUUUAAGUAUAUCAAUAAGCGGAGGA
rnacentral:misc_RNA from 1 species